AGUUCUACAGGCCUGGCAACCACACAGGCUUACCACACUUACAGCCUCAAUUCUUGGUAAUGUAAGACUCUGGUGAGCCUUAACAUACCAGGUACUCCCUGAGUGAAUGAUGUAGAGCUGGGAAUCGAUGCAGAAAGCAAGAGGAAUUUAUUGUUCCAACAUGUUGGGAGUCACCCUGCACAUGGAGAGAGAGAACGACCACACACAGCCUGUCCUGCCAGCCUUUAUAAAGUUCUCCAUUCAGCAGUCAUUAGGCACAAUGUGAUUGGCCGAACAGUGUGACUUUUAAACUGAUCGGUCUAUAAGGGAAUGAGAGACUUGAUCAAAUGAAAUGAUAGAUAGAUGAUAAAGCAGAAGCCCGAGGAUGCAUUCCCAUCAUCCUAGGUAUGGAUCCUAGGUAUUCAAGAGGCUGAGGUAAGGUAACUACAUGAGCUCACAGGUUCAAGACCAGCUUGAGCAGCAUAGUGGGAGCUGCACCUCAAGUGCAUUAAACAAACACAGGAAACCAUAAAACGAUGUGUAGAGGAGCAAUUGGGAUGGAAAGCAAUUCAAAUGGAAGAAAAAGGUGUCUACUGAGGAAGCAUUACAUUAUCUGGGCUGGGUUCUAGGAAAAUAUAAAAAAGUGUCUUGUGCCUACAAGCCUCCAUAAAUAUCCAGCCCUCGAGCCAAAAGGAAAACAAAAGCCCAGAGAAGUGUGGAAGGAUGUGUGUACUCAGGAAGUAGAAAGUGAACAGGAAGUGGGGACAGGCUAUAAAGCUUCAAAACCUGUCUCCUUUGACCCACUUCCUCCAUUGAGACUCUACUAUGGUACAGUCCUUUUUGGACACAGUCAUUGAAUAUUUGCAACAGGAAACAACACAUUACUGGAGCACAUUGUGUAUUGUUUGAGCUUUCCACAGGCUUUCAGUUACUUUACAAGUCUUGUAAUGGAAAGAGGAAUACUAAUCAUGAACAAUUCUUGCCUAGCAAUACACUGUAAAUUGCAUCUAGUGGAGAUUCAAUUGGUGACCCUUGCUGCACAUGGAAAGCCACUUUUGCAACACCAUGAAUAUUCAUCCCAACACUUGUGAGUUGUAAAUGUACCCUUUCUAUUCUUUUUACAUCAGUUGCAACAGCACUCCCAAAUCCCUCAUUCAAUUAAUGAAUUAAAUAAAAUAUUUGAC